CACAGGUCUAGAGGCCAGCAGUCCAUGGCCAGGGAACAGCAGGGCUUCAUCACUUCCAAAGGCUCGGAGGGGGUGGGGGUCCUACAAGCUCCUCUGUGGCAGGAGGGAGUGUCUGGAGCUGGAUAAACGCAGCACCGGCUGAGUUGCCUGAUGCUGCCAGAGUGGCAGGGCCUGUGGGGUGCAAGCACACUGCAUGAAAGGUGCAGGGCUCCGCCCUCAUGGACAGUGGUGCCCAGAGGCUGAGCCCAUCAUGGAAGAUGUCUUGUUGAGAGCUGGUCUACUCAUCCGUUGCACAGUCUGAAGUGGUUUAGGGGUCUUCUCAGCAUGGGAGUCAUCCUUGGCAGAGCCCCUGGAGGCUGUUCUUUCCCUCCUGGUCGUCUGACAAGGCACCGUGAGAACCCAGCAAGCAGUAGGGCUAAGGUUUGUUCUGCGUGGGUGUGGGUGACUGGAAAGGUUCUCAGGCAGGGACCUCUCUAUGGGUCACAGAGUCUCAGCAUAGAUCACCUAUCCUACUAUCUCAGGGCCACCAAGAGGGGACUGACACAUGUUCCCAGGAACACAUGCAAACACUGCCUGGGGAGCACCUGGGCCUAUAUGCUAGCACUUCCUAUGUGUUACCCACAUUCAGCCACUGGCAAAGACUGGGUACAGAUAUGGUGACCCUCCUUUCAGGAGGAGGAAACUGAGGCCCAGAGGCAGGGAUAGUGGGUGGCAUGUGGUGUAGCCAGGAAGGAGCAAGCUGUUUUCCUCCCUGCUGGGGCCCCGCAUUCCUGCCUCUAGGUGGAGCCUGUGAUUCCCUGGGACAGAACAUAUUCCCAGAAAGCUCUGAGCUCUUGUUUUUCUUUAUGCCAGACUUGUCAGGCAGAAUCAGCCUGGAAUAUGGAGGUCCUUCAGCCAGUCCAAAGAAGUGAUGGGCACUUCAUGUGCCUCCUACAGUCAUCUGCAGUCCCUCUUGUAAAUGCUUAGGCUUCUCCAGCUGGGGAGUAGUGUCCCUGCUUGGAUCAGGAUCCCUCCAGACCCUAGACAUCUCUUCUGGCUCUCUCUGCCUCGGUUUCCCCACAGAGAAGGGGAGACCUAUCCUAUUUCCUCACAAGUGGGCCCAGAGGGCUCCCUGGGAG
rnacentral:lncRNA from 1 species